rnacentral:rRNA from 1 species
CAGUCCGGCAGUAAGGGGGCGGGUGCUAAGGUCCGUCCCCGAGAGGAGAAGAAUCCAGACCGCCGUCUAAGGUCCCGGAGUUCUGCCUGAGUUAGUCUAACGAAGUCUGGUCCCUAUGACAGCUAGGAUGUUGGCUUGGAAGCAGCCAUUCAUUCAAAGAGUGCGUAACAGCUCACUAGUCGAGGGUCCGGGCAUGGAUAAUAAUCGGGUAUAAGGCAGACACCGAAGGCGCGGGAUAGCAAUUUUAAAAGUAUCGGUAGGGGAGCAUACUCACAGCGUUGAAUGGUGUACGUAAGUUAUCCUGGAGCGGUGAGUAAAGCAAAUGUAGGAAUAAGUAUCGAUAAGGAGGGUUAGAUUCCCUCCCGCUGUAAGACCAAGGUUUCCCGGGCAAUGCCAAUCAGCCCGGGGUCAGUCGGGUCCUAAGUCUAAGCCGAACGGCGAGGGCGAUGGCAGAGACGGUUAAUAUUCCGUCACUGCCGCAUGGGGCGACGUGGAGACGGAGCAGUGAAACCACCGCGGGGCGACGGAAGUCCCCGUU